rnacentral:lncRNA from 1 species
GAGGCUUUCUCGAGCAAAAUUUUAGUUUGAUGUAAUACAUUUUAUGUUUUAAAGUUUAGUAAGAAUCAUUCUAACAGUGACCUGAGCGAUUCAUGAAUGAACUUAACACCAAAUAUGGCAAUAGAUAAUAUUUAGGGUUUUAAAGUUUCCCCCUUCUCUUAGGCUGAAAGACUGUAUGAGCAGUUAGACUUUUACUGAGCCCACUUUUUAAUUCAGAUCUUUUAGGCCUGAAGGGUUGAACUGUAGGAGUGAUGUUCUAAGUUAUUAAUGAUCUAACCUGCCUCCUGCAGUCCACCCCAUCUCCUACUCCAUCAACUCUCUUAAUUCCUUUGUCUCUUCUCCCUUCUCUAACCAUUCCCUGUUGAGUCCACCCAAGCCUGACCACUUCAGGUGUGUUUCUGCUCCAGUCUCUAAGUUGAUCUUGUCUGAGAGAUGAAGUGUCAGGGUUUAAACUGAUUCUGUAAGAAAGGUAAUAUUUUAAUUUUAAAGGAAAAGACCAGGUUGUUCAUGUGGGGAUGCAGUCAUAAAAUGAACUCAUAUGAAUCACACAUGAAUCCUAUGCCCACUGCCCCCAUUCCUUGCCCACCGUGUGCCUUCUAUGGCAUUCCAGUUGACUAAAUAACUCAUAAACCCAUCUAGAAAUUAAAGGAAUAUAAUUGAAAGAAACUCUGAGAAUGUUUCUGUUAGAGAAAAUGCUAUAUAGCAGGAUCUCCAAAAUGUGAAUAUUUUUUGUGGUGUUGUUUUCCUUGCAGGGAAGCUGUUGAUUUGAGGAAUUUGAAGGUUUCUGGAAGAAGGAUUUGGAAAAUUUGAAGUGAACCUCUUUUGGGAAUUAAAAGUGCUAGGUCCCUUCUCAUGGGAUCGAAUAGCAGAGUCCUGGCUACGGGUUCAAAUGCCCUGCUGAAAUCCUCAGACAAUUCCAACAUCCACAAAGCUACGAAAGGAGCAAUGCCUCUGAGAACCUUGGAAAGGGGAAAGGGAGCAAUGUCAUCUGCACUCAGUCAUGGAGGAAACAGCUGGACAAGUCAGCACAGGGAGGUGGUGACCGGUAGAGGAGACUUGGAGUUCUUCAGGUACCUGGAGAUCACUGAAUACUGGCCUUCCAGACCCCUUUAUACCAGGUUCUCUAUCCUGAGGGAAAUGGCCUGCCUGAAAGGGACUAAAUGA